rnacentral:rRNA from 1 species
AUUGAACGCUGGCGGCAUGCCUUACACAUGCAAGUCGAACGGCAGCACGGGAGCAAUCCUGGUGGCGAGUGGCGAACGGGUGAGUAAAGUAUCGGAACGUGCCCAGUCGUGGGGGAUAACGUAGCGAAAGUUACGCUAAUACCGCAUACGAUCUAUGGAUGAAAGCGGGGGAUCGCAAGACCUCGCGCGAUUGGAGCGGCCGAUAUCAGAUUAGGUAGUUGGUGGGGUAAAGGCUCACCAAGCCGACGAUCUGUAGCUGGUCUGAGAGGACGACAAGCCACACUGAGACUGAGACACGGCCCAGACUCGUACGGGAGGCAGCAGUGGGGAAUUUUGGACAAUGGGCGAAAGCCUGAUCCAGCCAUGCCGCGUGCAGGAUGAAGGCCUUCGGGUUGUAAACUGCUUUUGUACGGAACGAAAAGGUUUGGCCUAAUAAGCUGAGCUCAUGACGGUACCGUAAGAAUAAGCACCGGCUAACUACGUGCCAGCCGCCGCAGUAA